UGCGGGGGGGGCAAGCGUUGUUCGGAAUUACUGGGCGUAAAGGGCGCGUAGGCGGUUUGUUAAGUUGGAUGUGAAAACUGUGGGCUCAACCCAUAGCCUGCAUCCAAUACUGACAGGCUAGAGUUCUGGAGGGGAUAGCGGAAUUCCUGGUGUAGCGGUGAAAUGCGUAGAUAUCAGGAGGAACACCGGUGGCGAAGGCGGCUAUCUGGACAGAGUCUGACGCUGAGGCGCGAAAGCUAGGGGAGCAAACGGG
rnacentral:rRNA from 1 species